rnacentral:lncRNA from 1 species
UCACUGGGGAGGGGGCACUGUUUUCUAUAGGAGUGACCUUCCAAGGCCAGCCAGAGAAGUACCUCCUGAGCCCACGGUCAAUGAGGAAGAACUAAGGAAAUGCCUGUUAUGUACUGAAGAAGGCUGCCCAGCUCCAGCCAGGACCAUAAAUAGCUUAAUCCCAGAAGAGACUUUGGAAAUCGGACCCUACCAUGCUGUGCCAAGUGAGGCCUUUGCUAUUUAUGAUGUUCCAAGAUCCUGGAGGAGCAACAGCCCAACUGAAAAUAAUAUGGAUGAGACCUGCCUAGCUCCCAGCCUAAUAUUGAUGAAGACCCGUCCCUAAGAGGGGGCCAACCUCAGAACCACCUGAUUCUCUGGGUUGGACCGACUUGAAACUGAAAUUCUGUACCAUCUCCUAGCUCCCUCUUCUCCUGGAAGGCAGUCCAGAAAAGGAUUUGGCCCACUGUAGUAACAAUUCUCUCUUCUUAACUUUAUGAGCUUCUAAUUUCCUUCUCUUACCCUCUCUGUACUUCUGAGAAUUGUUGUCACCAUUAUUACGUCCCAUCGUUAUUAAAGAGAGAACCAUAUUUUCAAA